UACGUAGGGUGGGAGCGUUAAUCGGAAUUACUGGGCGUAAAGCGUGCGCAGGCGGUCAUGCAAGACAGAUGUGAAAUCCCCGGGCUUAACCUGGGAACAGCAUUUGUGACUGCACGGCUUGAGUGCGGCAGAGGGGGAUGGAAUUCCGCGUGUAGCAGUGAAAUGCGUAGAUAUGCGGAGGAACACCGAUGGCGAAGGCAAUCCCCUGGGCCUGCACUGACGCUCAUGCACGAAAGCGUGGGGAGCAAACAGG
rnacentral:rRNA from 1 species